rnacentral:rRNA from 1 species
AGGACGAACGCUGGCGGCGUGCUUAACACAUGCAAGUCGAGCGGAAAGGCCCACUCGUGGGUACUCGAGCGGCGAACGGGUGAGUAACACGUGAGUAAUCUGCCCUUCACUCAGGGAUAACUUCCAGAAAUGGGUGCUAAUACCUGAUAUGACCUGUCCCUGCAUGGGGGUGGUGGAAAGUUUUUCGGUGGGGGAUGUGCUCGCGGCCUAUCAGCUUGUUGGUGGGGUAAUGGCCUACCAAGGCUUUG